UUCUUAUCAAGAGAGGCAGAGGGUAUGGCCCUGUGAAGCCUCAGCAACCUUCAAUGGAUAAUAUUGAAAAGGUGCUAAUUCCUGCAGGUCCUUUAUGGGCUUGAAAGAUAAGAA
rnacentral:ncRNA from 17 species